rnacentral:rRNA from 1 species
AGUGAACGCUGGCGGUAGGCCUAACACAUGCCAGUCGAACGGCAGCACAGUAAGAGCUUGCUCUUACGGGUGGCGAGUGGCGGACGGGUGAGGAAUACAUCGGAAUCUACUUUUUCGUGGGGGAUAACGUAGGGAAACUUACGCUAAUACCGCAUACGACCUACGGGUGAAAGCAGGGGAUCUUCGGACCUUGCGCGAUUGAAUGAGCCGAUGUCGGAUUAGCUAGUUGGCGGGGUAAAGGCCCACCAAGGCGACGAUCCGUAGCUGGUCUGAGAGGAUGAUCAGCCACACUGGAACUGAGACACGGUCCAGACUCCUACGGGAGGCAGCAGUAGGGAAUAUUGGGCAAUGGGCGCAAGCCUGAUCCAGCCAUACCGCGUGGGUGAAGAAGGCCUUCGGAUUGUAAAGCCCUGUUGUUGGGAAAGAAAAGCAGCAGGUUAAUACCCCGCUGUUCUGACGGUACCCAAAGAAUAAGCACCGGCUAACUUCGUG